AAAAAAAAAAUAAGAUCGAUGUAGGCAGAAACCAAACGAUAAGCUCGAUCAGUGGCUGCUCCUCUCUCCCCGUCCGCCGUCCAUGCACAGCUAGAGCUGCUGCAGCCAGGGCCAAGAAGAAGCAGACGAUGGAAUGAGGCCCACGGCGGCAACCAGACCUUCCGUCUUCCUCGCGAGACACCAACCACCGAUCCCAACGUCGUCAAGGGCAGCAGCAGGAGCAGUAGCAGCAGUCGAUCCAUGCAAGCAAAUCAAGAACAGGCAGAAGCGCACCGUCCGGUCAUGGCGAGCCGCCUCGGCAGGCAGCAGCAACGGCGGCGGCGAUGAGUACGGCGCCGGAAAGUCCGUGUCGACGGUGGCAGCGACACCGGGAAGGAGGCGGGCGCGUCUGUCGGCGAGGCGGCGGGAGAGCAUCAGGCUCCUGGACGUGCUGCCGGACCAGGGCGGCGCGGCGGACGGCAUCGGCAUCGGCGAGUUCCUGCGGCACCCCGCCGGCGUGGAGUCCCUGCUCAACACCAGGGCGCUGCAGAGCUUCGCUCCGGUGGAGCCGGAGUCUGGCCCGGCUGGCACGUUCAGGUGCACGCUGCAACCCAUGGGGUUCUUGGGGUUCCAGGUCGCCCCCGUCCUCGACCUCCGCGUCGCCCCGACCCGCGACGACUGCACCGUCGAGAUGCUCUCCUGCAGGUUUGAGGGUUCAGACUCGAUCGAGCAGCAGAAUGAACUCUUUUCAGCGGUUAUGAGAAACCACAUAACAUGGGGAGACAACGGUGAACAGGAGCCAUGCUUGGACAUCGAUGUCAUUUUGGAGGUCACUCUGGAGGUGUACACGAAGCCAUUCAGCUUGCUCCCGUUGUCAGCUGUGGAGAAGCCAGGCAACCUGUAAGGCCCUGUAUUCCUUGCAACUUUCUGAAAUUAAGAACACAAGGGCUCUCCUGAAGUCCUGAUGCUUAUAAAGUUGCUGAUGCAAGGCCUGCUUGACAGGCUUGUGCCUUUGCUGGGUGAGCAACUUCUCAAGGACUACCAUUCCUGGGUUCAGCAGCAGCCUCGAUCUUCCUCAUGAAUGAUCACCGAAAGCCUCAAGCUAACAGUACUAGGAGAUUCCUGGGUUCAUGGCUGGAUGGAUUCAGAAAUUCAGCCGGCGGCAGCAUCAAGAAUGAUGAGGAAACAUUCGUGCAUUCAUAAGCACCAUAUUAAAUUUGUGGCCGUGGGUAAUUAAUUGGUGUACCUGGAUUGAUGUUACACAAUACAAUAUACUUGUUGAUCAGGAA